rnacentral:lncRNA from 1 species
UUAGUGGAGCGGGAAAAACAACACUGAUGGAUGUUCUUUCAGGAAGAAAAACUGGCGGAAUUAUUGAAGGAGACAUUAGAAUUGGAGGGUACCCAAAAGUCCAAGAAACAUAUGCCAGAAUAUCUGGGUAUUGCGAGCAAAGUGACAUACAUUCUCCACAGCUCACAGUAGAAGAGUCAGUAGCAUACUCAGCUUGGCUACGCUUGCCAUCCGAUAUUGAUAGAAAUACUAGAGCUGUAAGUCCCUAUAAACAUGCAAAGCAUGUAGUAUGAAUGCCAAACAUCAUGCUUCAAAGUUAAGACCUGAACCUGGUGCUAAUCUUUUUAGACUUAAUUACCCAAAUAGAAUGCAUGUAUCAAUGUUUAGACAUAAAACCAGAAAGUUGGCAUAACAGUAGCUUCCAGGAACUGAAUAUGAUGCUGUUUUUAAAAUUCAUACAUUUACUUGUAGGAUUUAUGUUCAUGGAGUCAUAAUAUAUUGUCAAGUACAUAAGACGUCCUAUGAUCAUAGAAGAUUUCAUAAUGUUUCCAUUUGAACUAUCCAUUUCUCAGGAGUUUGUGAAAGAAGUACUUCAAAUGAUAGAGCUUGAUGAAAUUAAGGACGAGUUAGUUGGCAUACCAGGUGGUAGUGGCAUAUCAAUUGAACAGCGUAAACGGCUAACAAUUGCAGUAGAGCUUGUUUCAAAUCCAUCUGUUAUAUUCAUGGACGAACCCACGUCUGGUUUAGAUGCCAGAGCAGCUGCAAUAGUUAUGCGAGCUGUGAAAAAUAUUGUCAGUACAGGAAGGACUGUUGUAUGCACUAUUCAUCAGCCGAGUAUUGACAUAUUUGAAGCAUUCGAUGAGGUAAUUGACCAAUAUAAAAGUUACGAGUCAAUUGUAGUAAUUGAUAGCAAUAUCUGAUGUAGUAUAAAAUGCAUGGCCCUUUUUCUGAAUCUACAAUAUUUAUAUUAUGACAAGAUAUUAAGUGAUUUGAUACAUCAAUUUUUAACUUUGCACAGCUUCUAUUGAUGAAAAGAGGAGGACAAGUGAUAUACUGUGGAGAGCUGGGUGAAGAUUCAAGUAAGCUUAUACAAUACUUUGAGGUGAGUAACAUAACAACACUCCCAAUUUUGAUGAAAACCCUAUUUUUACACGUCAAUUCUAUCGACACUGCUUUUUACAUCCAUUCUGUUGCAGGGUAUUUCUGGGGUUCCAAAAAUCAAAGAUAACUACAACCCAGCAACAUGGAUGUUAGAAGUUACAAGUCCUUCCGCAGAAGCCAAACUUGCCUUAGAUUUUGCUCAGCUCUAUAGAGAAUCACAUCUAUGCCAGUGAGUAUUAGUGUAUUACUGCACUAGCAUAUAUGACCGAGUUCAAAAACACUGUCAAAAUGACAACAUUUGACUUCUAUCUCAAAACACUAGCACUAGUUACACUCCCACAAGGGCACCUUACCCAAACUAGCUAGGACGGCAGUCCACGUAAAAGAAGGCAAAGGCUAUCUUUAUAUAGCAGAAAUAUCCUUCAUAAAUUCUAGCAGUGCUAGAUUUUCUAAAUGACUGCAAUAUCAGGUUUAUGAUAAUAUUACACCACUCAACAGGUUUAUGAUAAUAUUACACCACUCUAGAAUGGGUUCCUAGAAUAGGAGAGGCAGUUUUAACAAAACAUUAUUCUUCAAUAUUAUUCAGUGACUUACCGUAUCAACUCUUACAUUUCUUGUUCAAUACAGAAAAAACAAUGACCUAGUUAGAGAAUUCAGCUUUCCAGCACAAGGCACAAAGGCAUUGGAUUUUCCUACUCGCUUCCCACAAAAUGGAUGGGAGCAAUUUAAAGCAUGUCUCUGGAAGCGACAUCUAUCCUAUUGGAGAAAUCCAAGAUAUAACCUGGGGCGAUUAGCAAUUACUGCUGCAUCUUCUUUGAUAUUCGGAGCACUUUUUUGGCAAAAAGGACUGAGAAUGUAAGGCAAUUUGAUAGUAUACUUUUCUAUAUAAUGCAUACAAAAUCUAGACAUGUAGAAUAAUGUUGGCUUGACUACAUCAAUUAUGUACCAGAUAAUCAUCUAGCACAUCCAAAAAGUCAAGUAUGCUGACUCCCCAAAGAAUAAGCACCCCCUUUCUUGCAUUCGAUUAACUACUGAUUUAGAAUGCAUUCCUACUUAAACAUACCAGAGUCUAGUGUACUUAGCAUCUCAUCAAGUUUUUAUUUUUGCUCUGAAGAAAUGGUGAACAGGAGUUCUUCAGCAUUCUAGGAUCAAUAUUUAUUUUACAACAAUGCAUGGGAAUUGGUAACUCUACCUCUGUUUUACCAUUUGUCGCUUCUGAGCGCAAUGUUGUAUACCGGGAAAGGUUUGCUGGAAUGUACUCCUCAUGGGCAUAUUCUUUAUCACAGGUAUGCAUUCUAAUCGUUUUCCUAGCUAGCUAGACCGCAAUUCAGCACUUUCAAAAUUUAAAGGUUACAUAACUCUUCUACAUGGCGCAGGUGAUCAUUGAACUGCCCUAUAUAUUCCUUCAAGCAGUUUUGUUUUCCACCAUUACUUAUCCAACCAUUGGUUUCCACUGGUCACUUUACAAAGUAUUCUGGUUUGUGUAUGCUAUGUUUUGUACACUGCUCUACUUCACUUACUUCGGUAUAUUGGUUGCUUCUGUGACCCCAACUUUCCAAGUAGCUUCAGUAUUAGCAAGUUUCUGCUACACCAUGUUCAAUCUGUUCUCGGGAUUCCUAAUACCACAACCAGUAAGUAAUCUAUAUCUUUAGUCAUUUACUUCACUUCAUCAACACAAAAUGGAUUUGCAUAAAAUUUUGAAUUUUGAAUUUACUCCCCUCCUGCAGAACAUUCCUAAAUGGUGGGUUUGGGGCUACUGGAUUUGCCCUUUAUCAUGGUCCGUAAAAGGUAUUCUCACUUCACAGUACGGAGAUCUAAACAAGGAAAUAGUACUCCGCGGGGAAGAAAAGCCUAUCAGUGCCUUCUUAGAAAGCAUCUACGGAUACAACUAUGAUGAUCUAGGAAUCAUAGGAAUUGUUCUUCUAGCAUAUCCACUAGUUUUUGCAUUUGCUUUUGCACUUGCUACAGAAAAACUUAACUUCCAGAGGAGGUAACAAUAAUGUCUUUCAAUUACUGAAGCUGAAUACAUGAACUUCUCUACACAGCCAUUGCUGUAAUAUACUUUCUAGCUUAUUAUUCGUAUCAUUGAUAACUAAUUAACUACGAAGUUGUCUCAACUACUCAGUUCUUGCAAUGACUGCCUCACAAAACAUAGUAAAAGUUUGAUCAUGAAUAGUAAAAGUUCAUAAAUUUUCAUUGAUACAAAAUACAUAUGAAGAUCAAGUCUUGGAUCAUGAAAAGCACAGAAUAUACUGAAUUCAAGAAUGAUAUCAGCAACAGGUUAUAAAAUAAAUAGAAAACUAUAUGUAAGUCAGUCAAAAUGAAUUCAAUUACAACUAAGUUGUUUCAUCUAAGUUUUUGCAAUGAUCGCCUCACAAAUCAUACUGGAGAGACAAGUGAAUCAAGAGAAACUGAGAAAGUAAAGUACCUGAAGAGAGAAGAAUCAGAACUCGGAAAACGAGG